rnacentral:misc_RNA from 1 species
GAUGAAGAACGUAGCGAAAUGCGAUAAGUAAUGUGAAUUGCAGAAUUCAGUGAAUCAUCGAAUCUUUGAACGCACAUUGCGCCCUCUGGUAUUCCGGGGGGCAUGCCUGUUCGAGCGUCAUUAUAACCACUCAAGCUCUCGCUUGGUAUUGGGGUUCGCGGUUUCGCGGCCCCUAAAAUCAGUGGCGGUGCCUGUCGGUUCUACGCGUAGUAAUACUCCUCGCGAUUGAGUCCGGUAGGUCUACUUGCCAGCAACCCCUAAUUUUUUUAAGGUUGACCUCGGAUCAGGUAGGGAUACCCGCUGAACUUAAGCAUAUCAAUAAGCGGAGGA